CUUUCAGUUAUAAUUAAACUUACACAUGCAAGUCUCCCACUCCAGUGAAAAUACCCUUUAUCUUCCAACUAUAAGAAGAAAAGGAGUUGGUAUCAGGCUCAAUUGGCCCAAGACACCUAGCUUAGCCACACCUCCAAAGGAUCUCAGCAGUGAUUAACAUUAAACAUUAGCGCAAGCUAAAUUUAGUUAUAAUUUAUAUGGUCGGUUAAUUUCGUGCCAGCCACCGCGGUUAUACGAAAGACUUAAACUGAAAGCCACCGGCGUAAAGCGUGAUUAGGGGUAAAAAUCUUCUAAAGCUAAACUCUGAUUUAAUUGUUGUAAGUUAAUAUCAGAUGGAAACCCAUUCACGAAAGUAGCUUUAUUAUUCCUGACUUCACAGUAGCCAAGACCCAAACUGGGAUUAGAUACCCCACUAUGCUUGGCCCUAAACUUUGAUAAUUACAAUUCACC
rnacentral:rRNA from 1 species